AACAAGGGACGAGUAAGAAAGAC
rnacentral:piRNA from 1 species